rnacentral:rRNA from 1 species
AUACGGAGGGUGCAAGCGUUACUCGGAAUCACUGGGCGUAAAGCGCGCGCAGGCGGCUACUUAAGUUGGAUGUGAAAGCCUACGGCUCAACCGUAGAACUGCAUCCAAAACUAUUUAGCUAGAGUGUGGGAGAGGAAGAUGGAAUUAGUUGUGUAGGGGUAAAAUCCGUAGAGAUAACUAGGAAUACCAAAAGCGAAGGCAAUCUUCUGGAACACUACUCACGCUGAGGCGCGAAAGCGUGGGGAGCAAACAGGAUUAGAAACCCUAGUAGUCC